rnacentral:rRNA from 1 species
GACGAACGCUGGCGGCGUGCUUAACACAUGCAAGUCGAACGCUUAAGCUCAGCUUUUGUUGGUUGGAUGAGUGGCGAACGUGUGUGUUACACGUGAGUCACCUUCCCCCUUCUUUGUGAUAAUGCCCGGAAACGGGUGCUAAUACUUGCUAUUCACUGGUCUUCGCAUGGGGGUUUGUGGACAUGGUUUUUCUGGUGGGGGAGGGUCUCGCGGCCUAUUAGCUUGUUGGUGGGGUGAUGGCCUAACCAGGCUUUGCCGGGUAGACGGCCUGAGUGGGUGACCGGGAACAUAGGGACUGAGAUGAGGCCCAGACGCAGAAGGGAGGCAGAAGUGGGGAAUAUUGCACAAUGGGCGAAAGAGUGAUGCAGCGACGGCGAGGAAGGGAUGGAGACAUGCGAGUUGUGAAACUCUUUCGCUAAUGGACAAGACGAAAAAAUGGUUGUGGUGAGGGUAGUGAGAAAAGAAGCGCCGGCUAACUACGUG